UAUCUCUGUAGAGUCUGCAUAUCAAUAAGCGGAGGAAAAGAAACUAACUAGGAUUCCCUUAGUAACGGCGAGUGAAGCGGGAAGAGCUCAAAUUUGAAAUCUUCAAGGUUCUACCUUGACGAAUUGUAGUUUAAUAGAAGUGUUUUCUGUUAGAUGAGGUGGCUAAAAGUUCUUUGGAAUAGGACAUCAUAGAGGGUGAGAAUCCCGUAUUUGGUCAUUCCUCCUAGCGUUGUGAUACACUUUCAACGAGUCGGAUUGUUUGGGAAUGCAGUCCAAAAUGGGUGGUAAAUUUCAUCUAAAGCUAAAUAUUGGCGAGAGACCGAUAGCGAACAAGUACCGUGAGGGAAAGAUGAAAAGAACUUUGAAAAGAGAGUUAAACAGUACAUGAAAUUGUCAAAAGGGAAGCGUUUGACACCAGUGUUGUUUUUCCGAAAAUCAAUUACGAAUGUUUUGUUUUUAAGAAGUUAUGACUUCAUCGGCUUGUUUCUUUCUUUACGAAACUUUCUUAAUGCACUUUUCGGUUAACAAGUCAACGUCAAUUUCUUUUGUUGUAAAAGGGUAUGAGGAAGGUGGCUUUCUUUUCGGAGAAAGUGUUUAUAGCCUUGUGCCUCUGCAAUCGGAGAGAUUGAGGUCUGCAGCGUAGAUCCUUCGGGGUUAGAUACGUUUGUGCUAAGUUAUAGCUUUUCAUAGACAACUUGUUGACUAUGUUUGGUCUUGUAGCUUACUCGCUGACGCUAUUUUACCUACGCUUAGGAUGUUGAGUAGCGACAUACGCAC
rnacentral:rRNA from 1 species